rnacentral:rRNA from 1 species
UGAUAAUUAAUAUUUAAGGGGCCGCAGUAUUCUGACUGUGCAAAGGUAGCAUAAUCAAUAGGUUUUUAAUNGAGAUCUCGUAUGAANGAUNGGACAAAAGAAAUACNGUCUUNGNGUUAAAAUUUGAAUUUAACUUUUGAGUGAAAAGGCUUAAAUAUUCUAAAGGGACGAUAAGACCCUAUAAAACUUUACAUUAAUAUUAAAUUUUAUUUAAUUUAAAUUAUAACAAUUAAAUUUAAGUUUUUUGUUAUGUUGGGGAGACAAAAGCUAUAAUUAUAUAUUAACUGCUUAUGAAAAAAACAAUAAAUAAAUGAAGUAAAAAUUUAUAGAUCCUUAAUAAAGAUUUAAAGAUUAAGUUACUUUAGGGAUAACAGCGUUAUUUUUUUUGAGAGUUCCUAUCGAAAAAAAAGAUUGCGACCUCGAUGUUGAAUUAAAAUAUCUUUAUAAUGCAGCUGUUAUAAAAGAAGGUCUGUUCGACCUUUAAUUUUUUACAUGAUUUGAGUUCAGACCGGUGAGAGCCAGG